rnacentral:rRNA from 1 species
GACGAACCGUGCGAACGUUAUUCGGAAUCACUGGGCUUAAAGCGCGUGUAGGCGGGUUGGCGCGUCGGUCGCUGAAAGCCCCCGGCUCAACCGGGGAAGUGGCGCCGAAACGGCCAGCCUGGAGGGGGGUAGGGGGGCCUGGAACUUCCGGUGGAGCGGUGAAAUGCGUUGAGAUCGGAAGGAACGCCCGCGGCGAAAGCGAGGCCCUGGACCCUUUCUGACGCUGAGACGCGAAAGCCAGGGGAGCGAACGGG